ACUCCUACGGGAGGCAGCAGUGGGGAAUAUUGCACAAUGGGCGCAAGCCUGAUGCAGCCAUGCCGCGUGUAUGAAGAAGGCCCUAGGGUUGUAAAGUACUUUCAGUCGGGAGGAAGGCGUUGAUGCUAAUAUCAUCAGCGAUUGACGUUACCGACAGAAGAAGCACCGGCUAACUCCGUGCCAGCAGCCGCGGUAAU
rnacentral:rRNA from 1 species